UACAGAGGGUGCGAGCGUUAAUCGGAAUUACUGGGCGUAAAGCGUGCGUAGACGGUUAUUUAAGUCGGAUGUGAAAGCCCCGGGCUCAACCUGGGAAUUGCAUUCGAGACUGAAUAGCUAGGGUGCGGUAGAGGGAAGCGGAAUUUCAGGUGUAGCGGUGAAAUGCGUAGAUAUCUGAAGGAACAUCAGUGGCGAAAGCGACUUCCUGGACCAAUACUGACACUCAUGUGCGAAAGCGUGGGGAGCAAACAGG
rnacentral:rRNA from 1 species